GUGCUCACUUCAGCAGCAUAUAACACAUAGGGUUGGAACGAUAUAGAGAUUAGCAUGGCCCCUGCACAAGGAUGACAUGUGGGUUCGUGAAGCAUUCCAUAUUUAA